rnacentral:rRNA from 1 species
UACGUAGGGUGCAAGCGUUGUCCGGAAUUAUUGGGCGUAAAGAGCUCGUAGGCGGUUUGUCGCGUCGAAUGUGAAAUCCCGGGGCUCAACCCCGGGUCUGCAUUCGAUACGGGCAGACUAGAGUUCGGUAGGGGAGUCUGGAAUUCCUGGUGUAGCGGUGAAAUGCGCAGAUAUCAGGAGGAACACCGGUGGCGAAGGCGGGUCUCUGGGCCGAUACUGACGCUGAGGAGCGAAAGCGUGGGGAGCGAACAGG